GACGAACGCUGGCGGCGUGCUUAACACAUGCAAGUCGAACGAAGUGGCGAACGGGUGAGUAACGCGUAAUCAACCUGCCCUUCAGAGGGGGACAACAGUUGGAAACGACUGCUAAUACCGCAUACUGAAGGAGGGGAUUGCGUCUGAUUAGCCAGUUGGAGGGGUUACGGCCCACCAAGGGGAUGAUCAGUAGCCUGUCUUGGAGGAUGAACGGCCCCAAUGGGACGGGGAACCGGGCCAGACGCCUACGGGAGGCAGCAAUGGGGAAUUUUCCGCAAUUGACGAAAGUCUGACGGAGCAACGCCGCGUUGGUUGUGACGGCCUUCGGGUUGUAAAGCUCUGUUAAUCGGGGCGCGGUACCGAAAUAGAAAGCCACGGCUAACUACGUGCCAGCAGCCGCGGUAAUAC
rnacentral:rRNA from 1 species